ACGAACGCUGGCGGCGUGCCUAAUACAUGCAAGUAGAACGCUGAAGGCGGAGCUUGCUCUUCUGGAUGAGUUGCGAACGGGUGAGUAACGCGUAGGUAACCUGCCUGGUAGCGGGGGAUAACUAUUGGAAACGAUAGCUAAUACCGCAUAACAGUAGAUGUUGCAUGACAUUUGCUUAAAAGGUGCAAUUGCAUCACUACCAGAUGGACCUGCGUUGUAUUAGCUAGUUGGUGGGGUAACGGCUCACCAAGGCGACGAUACAUAGCCGACCUGAGAGGGUGAUCGGCCACACUGGGACUGAGACACGGCCCAGACUCCUACGGGAGGCAGCAGUAGGGAAUCUUCGGCAAUGGACGGAAGUCUGACCGAGCAACGCCGCGUGAGUGAAGAAGGUUUUCGGAUCGUAAAGCUCUGUUGUAAGAGAAGAACGAGUGUGAGAGUGGAAAGUUCACACUGUGACGGUAUCUUACCAGAAAGGGACGGCUAACUACGUG
rnacentral:rRNA from 1 species